UACGUAGGGUGCAAGCGUUAAUCGGAAUUACUGGGCGUAAAGCGUGCGCAGGCGGUUCUAUAAGACAGAUGUGAAAUCCCCGGGCUCAACCUGGGAACUGCAUUUGUGACUGUAGAGCUGGAGUACGGCAGAGGGGGAUGGAAUUCCGCGUGUAGCAGUGAAAUGCGUAGAUAUGCGGAGGAACACCGAUGGCGAAGGCAAUCCCCUAGGCCUGUACUGACGCUGAGGAGCGAAAGCGUGGGGAGCGAACAGG
rnacentral:rRNA from 1 species